rnacentral:rRNA from 1 species
AAAUGAAUAGACGGGGGCCCGCACAAGCGGAGGAACAUGUGGUUUAAUUCGAUGAUACGCGAGGAACCUUACCCGGGCUUGAAUUGCAGAGGAAGGAUUUGGAGACAAUGACGCCCUUCGGGGUCUCUGUGAAGGUGCUGCAUGGUUGUCGUCAGCUCGUGCCGUGAGGUGUCGGCUUAAGUGCCAUAACGAGCGCAACCCCUCUCCUUAGUUGCCAUCAGGUUAAGCUGGGCACUCUGGGGACACUGCCACCGUAAGGUGUGAGGAAGGUGGGGAUGACGUCAAAUCAGCACGGCCCUUACGUCCGGGGCUACACACGUGUUACAAUGGCAGGUACAGAGAGACGGUUGUACGUAAGUACGAUCAAAUCCUUAAAGCCUGUCUCAGUUCGGACUGGGGUCUGCAACCCGACCCCACGAAGCUGGAUUCGCUAGUAAUCGCGCAUCAGCCAUGGCGCGGUGAAUACGUUCCCGGGCCUUGUACACACCGCCCGU